CAGCUGAGAGGAACUUCCACAUGCAGUUUGGGGAUCAACUCCCAAGAAACCACUCCUGACCUCCACAACUCCUACUGCUUGGGCUAAGAGAGGACAGGGAAUUGCAUCCCUGCAGCCCUGUAAAUCAGCAGAGCUCCUUCUGCGCCCUACAUGGGGGAUUUUUACGUCCCCAAGGAUCCUCCAAGUUGUGUUCCCAGCCUCGGUGACAGGAGCUGGACAGUGGGGACUGGUGAUCCCACCUGUUCUACAGGAAGGUGACACACGCAGCUUCCUUUUCCUCAGAGCUUGGCCUGAUCCUGCAAGCACAGGACCACUUGGCUUUUCCUCUGCCCAAAGCCCAGCAGGAGCUGUAGGAGACUCGGGGAAUCCCUGCACUCUGCUCAGCUCCAACACAGCAGCAGCACUGCCCAUGAAAGGGAGUGGGAUGAGGGUCCAGGUGGCAGCAGGGACAGGAAACACCCCAAAAAGGACUGUGUGAGCCACCAGGGGCUGUUUUGUCUGCACAAGAGAUGACUGAGGAGAGCCACAGGAAUAAUCUUCCAACACAGAAACAACUGGUGGCAGGAGGCAGGAAAGCUCCUUUCCAUGUUCACAGAAGACUGGAUAAAAAAUAAUAAGCUUAAAUUGCAGCAAGGAAAUGUUAAGAAAGUCAUUAGAUACAGCUUCCUGAAAAAGAAAUAAAAUAAAAAUAUAGCUUUGCACAA